ensembl:lncRNA novel transcript
CUGGGCUUGCUCACACUUGACCCAGAAGCCUGAGAUGUGGCAUUUCUGAAGUGUCCAAUUUAUGAAGUUGAAAACUGGGGCAAGCUCAUCUGUUUGUGCAAUGUUGAUUGCCAACGGUUAAUCACCAAGGGUAAGUGGAAGAAAUCAUUCCUGUUCAUUUGCAAAUGGAAAUCAAAUGAGGACUGUGCCGAAAUGCAUCAGCAUUUUCACUUCCAACUGCAAGGAUUUCAGAAGACAGCUGACCUUGGGCUGCCUGGCAGGCACGGGCCUGGCGCCGAUACUUCUGCUCAGAGUGCCUGUGCUUUUUGGUGCAUGCAUCAAGUCCUGAAGUAAUAGCCCCACGUAUCAGAUGUGUAAUGGAUUUCUCUCCAUGCUGCGGGAUUCAUUACCAUGAUUUAUGGCUGUUUUAAUGUACACAGCCUUCUUAAACAA